UACAGAGGUCCCGAGCGUUGUUCGGAUUCAUUGGGCGUAAAGGGUGCGUAGGCGGCGGGGUAAGUCUGAUGUGAAAUCCUGGGGCUCAACCCCAGAACUGCAUUGGAUACUGCCUUGCUAGAGUACUGGAGAGGAAACUGGAAUUUACGGUGUAGCAGUGAAAUGCGUAGAGAUCGUAAGGAAGACCAGUGGCGAAGGCGAGUUUCUGGACAGUAACUGACGCUGAGGCCCGAAGGCCAGGGGAGCAAACGGG
rnacentral:rRNA from 1 species